rnacentral:ncRNA from 1 species
AACCGCCGUAUACCGAACGGUACGUACGGUGGUGUGAGAGGACGGGGGAGGCGACUCCCCCUCCUACUCGAU